UACGGAAGGCAGCAGUGGGGAAUAUUGCACAAUGGGCGCAAGCCUGAUGCAGCCAUGCCGCGUGUAUGAAGAAGGCCUUCGGGUUGUAAAGUACUUUCAGCGGGGAGGAAGGCGAUGCGGUUAAUAACCGCGUCGAUUGACGUUACCCGCAGAAGAAGCACCGGCUAACUCCGUGCCAGCAGCCGCGGUAAUACGGAGGGUGCAAGCGUUAAUCGGAAUUACUGGGCGUAAAGCGCACGCAGGCGGUCUGUUAAGUCAGAUGUGAAAUCCCCGGGCUUAACCUGGGAACUGCAUUUUGAAACUGGCAGGCUUGAGUCUUGUAGAGGGGGUAGAAUUCCAGGUGUAGCGGUGAAAUGCGUAGAGAUCUGGAGGAAUCCGGUGGCGAAGGCGGCCCCUGGGACAAAGCUGACGCUCAGGGUGCGAAAGCGUGGGGAGCAAACGAGGAUUAGAUACC
rnacentral:rRNA from 1 species